rnacentral:tRNA from 1 species
UGUCGUUUAGCUCAGUCGGUAGAGCAUCGUGCUAAUAACGCGAGGUCGCAGGUUCGAGCCCUGCAUCGACCA